AUGGAUGUGAUGAUUAUUUCCCCAUACGAUCGAAACUGAAGAUUCUGUGCGAAUUUUGUUUCUCUUCGGAGAAAUCAAGCCAAAUAAUCUGAUCCAC
rnacentral:snoRNA from 1 species